rnacentral:tRNA from 1 species
UGCCGCAUAGCUCAAUUGGCAGAGCUCCCGACUAUUAACGGGUGGGUCCUGGUUCGAGUCCAGGUGCGGCAA